rnacentral:rRNA from 1 species
AGUGAACGCUGGCGAUAGGCCUAACACAUGCAAGUCGAACGGCAGCACAGUAAGAGCUUGCUCUUACGGGUGGCGAGUGGCGGACGGGUGAGGAAUACAUCGGAAUCUACUUUUUCGUGGGGGAUAACGUAGGGAAACUUACGCUAAUACCGCAUACGACCUACGGGUGAAAGCAGGGGAUCUUCGGACCUUGCGCGAUUGAAUGAGCCGAUGUCGGAUUAGCUAGUUGGCGGGGUAAAGGCCCACCAAGGCGACGAUCCGUAGCUGGUCUGAGAGGAUGAUCAGCCACACUGGAACUGAGACACGGUCCAGACUCCUACGGGAGGCAGCAGUGGGGAAUAUUGGACAAUGGGCGCAAGCCUGAUCCAGCCAUACCGCGUGGGUGAAGAAGGCCUUCGGGUUGUAAAGCCCUUUUGUUGGGAAAGAAAAGUAGCAGGUUAAUACCCCGCUGUUCUGACGGUACCCAAAGAAUAAGCACCGGCUAACUUCGUG